rnacentral:rRNA from 1 species
UUUCCUACGGGAGGCAGCAGUGGGGGAUAUUGCACAAUGGGGGGAACCCUGAUGCAGCGACGCCGCGUGGGCGAUGGAGUGCUUCGGCAUGUAAAGCCCUAUCAGCAGGGAAGAAAAUGACGGUACCUGACUAAGAAGCCCCGGCUAAAUACGUGCCAGCAGCCGCGGUAAUACGUAUGGGGCAAGCGUUAUCCGGAUUUACUGGGUGUAAAGGGGGCGCAGACGGCAAUGCAAGCCAGGAGUGAAAGCCCGGGGCCCAACCCCGGGACUGCUCUUGGAACUGCCUGGCUG